rnacentral:rRNA from 1 species
UACGGAGGGUGCAAGCGUUAUCCGGAUUCACUGGGUUUAAAGGGAGCGUAGGUGGGCUGGUAAGUCAGUGGUGAAAUCCCCGAGCUUAACUUGGGAACUGCCAUUGAUACUAUCAGUCUUGAAUACUGUGGAGGCUAGCGGAAUAUGUCAUGUAGCGGUGAAAUGCAUAGAUAUGACCCGGAACACCGAUUGCGAAGGCAGCCCGCUAAGCAACUAUUGACGCUGAGGCACGAAAGCGUGGGGAUCAAACAGG